rnacentral:rRNA from 1 species
AUGUUCUGGAGGAGGGGGGUGGAUGUGGCAUUGAGAUCUUAUGGGAGAAGACAUAUAGAUGUGGAUGUUACAGAGGAUAAUGGGGUGGUUUGGAGGUUGACGGGUGUGUAUGGGGAAUCAGCUGCGGAGCGCAAAAAUGAAACCUGGAGGACCAUCAGAAUCAUAGGCCAACAACAUCAAAAUGGCCGGCCUUGGCUUUACCUAGGAGACUUCAACGAAAUUCUGUCGUGUGAUGAGAAGGUGGGAGGGGUGACUCGACCCCAAGCCUGCAUGGAUAGGUUCAGGGAGGCCUUGGUUUGUUGUGAACUAUGUGACAUUGGUUAUCGGGGCGAUAAGUUCACUUGGCGGACCCACAACAAGGAGCGCCUGGACCGGGCCACUGCGAAUGCUAAAUGGUGUGAGUUGUUCCCGGAUUUCUCGGUGGUGAAUGAAAUACCUCGUCACUCGGAUCACAGGCCAGUGGUU